rnacentral:lncRNA from 10 species
GGGUCACGUGACUGCGUCUCCCCGCCCUCUCACCCCGCUGCCUCUAGGUUCUGGGAAGAUGGCGAAGGUCUCAGAGCUUUACGAUGUCACUUGGGAAGUGCCCAGAUCAGGCCUGGCACAUAGGCAUUUAGGAAAUAUUAGUUGAGUGAUGAAGAACUCCAAUAUUUACUCCAAGAAGUAAAUAUUAGUGGAAUAAUGAAGUAUAGUUCCAGUCAUACACUAUACUGCCUCAAAGAAGAAAUGAGAGAUAAAAUGAGAAAAUGGAGAGAAGAAAACUCAAGAAAUAGUGAGCAAAUUGUGGAAGUUGGAGAAGAAUUAAUUAAUGAAUAUGCUUCUAAGCUGGGAGAUGAUAUUUGGAUCAUAUAUGAACAGGUGAUGAUUGCAGCACUAGACUAUGGUCGGGAUGACUUGGCAUUGUUUUGUCUUCAAGAGCUGAGAAGACAGUUCCCUGGCAGUCACAGAGUCAAGCGAUUAACAGGCAUGAGAUUUGAAGCCAUGGAAAGAUAUGAUGAUGCUAUACAGCUAUAUGAUAG